GAUGAACGCUGACAGAAUGCUUAACACAUGCAAGUCUACUUGAUUCUACUUCGGUAGUUGAUGGUGGCGGACGGGUGAGUAACGCGUAAAGAAUCUGCCCUUUAGUUUGGGAUAACCUUUGGAAACGAAGGCUAAUACCGAAUAUUAUGGAGAUGUCGCAUGACGACUUCAUGAAAGCUAUAUGCGCUAGAGGAGGACUUUGCGUCCCAUUAGUUAGUUGGUGAGGUAAUGGCUCACCAAGACCGCGAUGGGUAGCCGGCCUGAGAGGGUGAUCGGACACAAGGGAACUGAGACACGGUCCUUACUCCUACGGGAGGCAGCAGUGGGGAAUAUUGGACAAUGGACCACAAGUCUGAUCCAGCAAUUCUGUGUGCACGAUGAAGGUCUUCGGAUUGUAAAGUGCUUUCAGUAGGGAAGAAAAAAAUGACGGUACCUACAGAAGAAGCGACGGCUAAAUAUGUGCCAGCAGCCGCAGUAAAAC
rnacentral:rRNA from 1 species